GCUUCAAGCUCUCAGAGGCAGAGCUUGAGAAAACCCAUGACUUCGUAUUCAAAGGCCUGCUCGCCGGGGACGAGCAGCAGGCCUUCAGGGUCAUUGAGGAAGAACUUGUUUUUGUCCAUGACAUGUAUUACACAAGGUACUCUUACCUCUACCAAAAGGGUCGAUACCUGGCUCUUUGUCUGCCUGUCAUCAUGUCUGCCCUAUGCUCGUGGCUCGCAGUGGCCAGCCUGCACAUCAAGCGUACGGACGACCCCUAUCUCAGUAGUCGUCUCAACCGCACUCUGCUGUCUGGCACCAUAGUCAUACCGGUUGUCGUGGCAUUCCUGGAGGCAUACCAGACGUACCUGUACAUGGCCUCAGGUUGGUUCAAGGUGGCUUUGAUACGGAGCUACGUCACCGCACCAUUUUUGCAAACAAGCUGUUGUUCUGAGAUGAUCAUACGUCUUCUCUUGAUGUUGAAGGCGUUUCGCCCAUGGAAGGGCAGACUCGGGCAGUACUGUUUCCUCGAGAGUCUUUGCCGCAAAAGUAAGAUUAUGAAUUGUCUCCAUUAUGCUACACUACGCCUGGUGGACAAGGCCGUGAAGGGGCGCAUGGAAUCAGUAAAGCUGUCCGGAAAUGUGAAGAAAGCCAUCAUUGAUUCCCUACUAGGAAGCAACGGAAACCUGACGAACGGGGUAACAUCGCUACAAAGAAAUGGCGUCCAUGGUGACCUUUCGUGGGCAUGUGAUGCUACUGCUACCGAUGGAGCGGUGAGUCGCACCAUUCUGGUCUGGCACAUUGCUACAACACUGUGUGAGCACCAGCUGGAUAAACAAGGAAAACAAGCAGAGGCGGUUAGAACAGCCUCCACUUUAUCUAAGUACUGCAUGCAACUGCUCGCUUUCGCACCUAACCUCUUACCUGACCACAGCUCUAUAUCGGAAGCCAUACUUGAUGAGUCAAUUGAUAAUGGAGGCGACCCUCGGUGGCAGGGAUUACGAAAGCUACUCGAAGGGUCCAAUGAUCUGGAGAGCAGGUGUAAGGAAUUAUUGAUGUUUAACAUUGAUAAUGGUGAUGGUGGUGAAGCACCGCUUGUUGCACAGGGCGCUCGGCUUGCAAGGCAGAUUGAAGGCAUACAUGACUCGAAAUUGCGGUGGAAGGUCCUCUCUGAUUUCUGGGCGGAGAUGAUGCUGUAUGUCUCGCCGUCUGACGAUGCCCGGACACACCUGGAAGUUCUUCCAAGAGGAGGGGAGUUCAUCACGCACCUUUGGGCGCUGCUCACGCAUGCCGGUGUGCUGAAGCGAGGCCCUACAGAGCCAAAGGAUGUUGUGUGAUCUGUUCAACCAGUGCACAAGUAACACUCCAUAUAUCAACCUAGUGCUUGUAAGUUGUAACAUCCUAUGUAUAUUGCCUACAGUCAUGUAUACCAUGUGUGAGUUAGUCUGUCGAGUCUGUAUCUCUUUUCAUGUUGUGUCUGUUGUCAGAUUUUGGUCAGGAUCGGAGUCUGUAAUUUCGUAAGGGUUUAGUAAAAAUACAUUAAAGUACAUUUCACCUUUAUUUUUCGGAAUAUAUAAUCAGUUAGUCUUAAAUCCAUCAGCACAAUAUAUCAAAACCUCAGUUAAAUUCCACCCGGAUGAACAACCACCAAGGGAUGCUUUUCGUUAAGCUAUAUAUAUAUAGCCUCAGGGCUCUCCAGGACUCCAAACUGUGUACUCUCUUUAUUAUCAGGCUCCCACUCUCCAGGACUCCAAACUGUGUACUGCCGACAUGGCUUUGGCAACAAGUCCCUCACCAAUUCCCACUCCCCAAGAUGAUGAUGUGCUAGCUUUGUUCUACGUGUUAGCUUUGGUCUUCCUGGCCGUGGUGGCCAUAUUCCUCUUGCAUUUACUGGGUCCGCUACGCCGGUGGUUGAGCAAGGGUCUCCUCCAUCACAUCGUGAUGGGAGUCUACGCGCUCUCCUACCCGCUGGUAGGCUACACCAUUGGGCUGAUGCAGUCUGCCAAUUGGUACUUCAACGACUUCACCGUGUGGGCUGUGUUCCUGCUUCUGCUCCUCAGCAGCACGGAUAGCCUCACAGCUUGCCGCCUCAACGACAUCGACAACUGGAAGAACAUCUACGUGAAACAACUCUUUAAGGGGUUCUUGUUGGUGUUUAUCAUUCUAAAGUUUGGCCGUCAGAUGAUGAUGAGGAAUUUGGAUGCCGACUACCUGUGGUACCCGCUCUCAGCCAUCCUGGUCGUUAUCGUCCUCAAGUCAUAUCUGAUGAUAGCUUCCAUGAGGAUGGUGAGCAAGUCUUACCUCGGUAAGAACGUGAAGGUGAUCGCCGAAUACAUGCAGCAUAUAGACAACAGGCUGGUGGUCUUCAAUCCUGUGACCAUGGAAGGCUACCAGUACAUGGUCGCUGGUGAGAAACACUGCGUUAACAGGCCUGGACACACACCAUGGUACAAGAAGCCGGACGACUUGAAGGUUACCACCGUGGAGCAGAUCUGGCAGUGCGAGGGGAAUCUGCUCAUUGGUGAUCAGGGCAAGGUGCUCAAGGACUUGUGCCUCUCUAUGGCUCUCUCCAAGAUGCUCAACCGAAGGUUUGCUGGCUUCAAGCUCUCAGAGGCAGAGCUUGAGAAAACCCACGACUUCGUAUUCAAAGGCCUGCUCGCCGGGGACGAGCAGCGGGCCUUCAGGGUCAUUGAGGAAGAACUUGUUUUUGUCCAUGACAUGUAUUACACAAGGUACUCUUACCUCUACCAAAAGGGUCGAUACCUGGCUCUCUGUCUGCCUGUCAUCAUGUUUGCCCUAUGCUCGUGGCUCACAGUGGCCAGCCUGCACGUCAAGCAUCACGACGACCCCUAUCUCAGUAAUCAUAGCAAUCGCAGUCUGAUGUCUGGCACCAUAGUCAUAACGGUUGUCUUGGCAUUCCUGGAGGCAUACCAGCUGUACCUGUACAUAGCCUCAGGUUGGUUCAAGGUGGCACUGAUACGGAGCUAUGUCGCCGCACCUUUUUUGCAAACAAGCUGUUUCUAUGAGAUGAUCAUACAUCUUCUCUUGAUGUUGAAGGUGUUUCGCCCAUGGAAGGGCAGACUUGGGCAGUACUGUUUCCUCGAGAAUCUUGGCCGCAAAAGUAAGGUUGUGAAUUGUCUCCAUUAUGGUACACUGUGCUUGGUGGACAAGGCCAUGAAGGGAAGCAAGAAAUCAGUGAAGGUCUCCGAAGAUGUGAAGAAAGCCAUCAUUGAUUCCCUACUAGCAAGCAACGGACACCUGACGAACGGGGUAACAUCGCUGCAAAAAAAUGGCGUCCAUGAUGACCUCAAAUGGGCAUGUGAUGCUACUGCUACUGACGGAGCGUUGGCUCGCACCAUUGUGGUCUGGCACAUUGCUACAACCCAGUGCGAGCAGAAGCUGGAUAAACAAGUCAAAGAAGAAGACGCUGUCAAAACAGCCUCCACUUUAUCCAAGUACUGCAUGCACCUCCUUGCUUUCGCACCUAACCUCUUGCCCGACCACAGCUCCAUAUCGGAAUCCAUACUUGAUUAGUCAAUCCACGAAGCAAGCAAGUUACUCAAAGAGGCCAAGGACAAGAAGAUCAAGGGCAAGAACAAGAAGAUCGAGGGCAGGUGUGAGAUACUAAUGCAAAUUAGCACUGAUGAUGAUUGUGUUGAUGAUGAAACAAUUCUUGUUGCGCGGGGCGUUCACCUUGCAAGGCAACUGAUUGAUAACAUACAAGACUUCACAACACGGUGGAAGGUGCUAUCUGAUUUCUGGGCGGAGAUGAUGCUGUAUGUCUCGCCAUCCGACGAUGCUCGGGAGCACCUGGAAGUUCUUGCAAUAGGAGGGGAGUUCAUCACGCACCUUUGGGCGCUGCUCACGCAUGCCGGUGUGCUGAAGCGAGGACCUACAGUGCCAAAGGAUGGUUUGUGACCUCUUUAACAAGUACACACGUAGCAGUCAUUAUAUCUAUCUAGUGCUUGUAACAUUCUAUGUAUGUUGGCACACCAUGUGUGAGUUAGUCUGUCGAGUCUGUAUCUCUUUUCAUGUCGAGUUAGUUUGUCGAGUCUGUAUCUCUUUUCAUGUCGUGUCCGUUGUCAGAUUUUGGGCAGAGUCAGAUCUGGUAAUUUCCGCAAGUUUCCUUAAGAAGAGCGUGUGUUCAGGUUGUUGGACGUGCGCGCGUCUAAGGUGGCCAUUACAGUCGCAAUCUGUUCCAUCGACCACUUGGGCACUCUCUCUCAGUUGCGUCUGUUCGUCUGUCAAUUGAGCAGGUCCUGUUGCAGCAGAGAUUGACCCUGCUACUACAGAAGGGGCGGGGAUCCCCUCCUGAGGAUUCCAGCUCUUUAGGGAGGGGUUCAACCUUGAGGAAGAUGCCAUAGUAGGAAUUCUUGCAUUCAUGUUCGUAACAAUACUGAGUGUUAUGGAAAAAUAUGGUCUUCUUCCUCUUCCCUCUUUGGGGAAGGGAAGCCUUUAUUCUUCGCGGAGUGUAUUGGGGAUAUAGGACUGAAAGCAGUGAUCAAGGACACGACUUGCCUUCUUGGUCUUGCUCCUGCUGUUCAUACUCCUCGAAGGCUUGAUCUUCAAAUCCCUCGAACUGCUGAACGUCUACACGCAUCAGACAAGCACAUACAAGCAAACAAGGGCAUAAAGUAAGAAAACAAUACACCAAUCAAAAUUAAACAGAGAAAACAAGCUUGUAAAAUUGAUCUACGCUUUAAAAACGAACAUGUAGAUAUAAAGAAUGCGAAAAAAGGAGUUAAGAUGCAAAAGAUAUAAUUAAAAUAAGAUCCAGGGGUUUUUCUGCGAGAAUUCAAAACUUUUAGGGUCAAACUGCGAAAAAUUGAGGACUUAUACAUAAUUACGUGUAUAAACUGAAGGUUUAAUGUGCAAAAACGCAACUUAGGAUGGCAGGUUGAUUUUAGAGAAACUCAGGGUCGAAACCGAAAUAAAAUAGGACCAAAACACAAAUGCUUUUGAACUGGAUUGGACUGCGGGUUGAUUUGCAGAAAAGGUGAGGGCUUAAGUGCAAAAGAGGCGCGACGCGGCGCGGUUGACUAGUACGCGAUCUAGUUGACCCGCUGUGGGCCGUCGGAUUUGGAUCCGACGGUCAUGGUCGUCGGCGACACUGAAGCGGUGGCAGAAAAAGGUGGCGGACGGCGACGAGCGGCGGCGCUUUGCCGGAGUUGGCCGAAACAGCGCUCCGGGGUUCGGUUUCGCGCGCGGAUUGCACGAGAUGGAUGCGGGGAACACGACGAACUCAUUUAGGGCUUUGGCGGGGGUUGCGGUGCGACGGAGCUCACUUUUUGGCGGCGGCUUGCGGCGGUGCUGCUAGGGUUUGGAGGGGCGAUGGCUGGGUGCUUGAGGCCGGGGGGGGUGCGGCGGCUUAAAUAGGGGCGUAUGGCGGCGGGAUACGGAUAGGAGAUGGACUCCGCGCGGAGGAAGCGCGCGGCGGUUGCGGGAGGUGGGCGGAGUCCGGGCGCGGUCGGGGAGAAGUCCCGGCCGGGUACGCCUGCCCCACCCGUCAGACCGGUGGAAGGGAGCGGGUCGGCGCUGCUUCGCGGGCCGUGGAGGAAAGGAGAUGGGCCGGUGAGGGAGAAACGUGGCGUGGGCCGGAGGAGCUGAGGGGAGGCGGGGCCGAAAAGGGAGGGAGGUCGGUAUGCUGGCCAGGCCGGCAGAACGGGCCGAGCAAACGAGACGGGCCGACAAGUGAAGGUGGAGCUGGUGGCGCUGGGCCGCAAGGAGUUGGAGCCGGGCUGAAAGAAAAAGGAGGAGGAGAAAGAAUGCAGCCCAAGAGGGGACAGUAAAAGAAAAGAAGAAAAGGAAAAGUUUUGGAAAUUGAAUUUGAGAUUUUGAAUUGGAAUUUGGAUCAAAUACAAUCAACCAAAAAUUAUGCACCAGCAUGAAUGUACAACAAACUCCUAUGAUGAAUUAAUUUAAUUUAGAGAAAAUGAAAAUUAAUAUGCCUAAGAAUUUAAAUGACAUCUUAAUUAAGCAAAUUUUAAUGAAUUUAAAUUAAGCAAAUUUUAAUGAAUUUAAAUUAAGCAAAUUUUAAUGAAUUUAAAUUCUUUAAAAAUUUGGUGUUACAAAUGCCAGGCUUUCGGGUCCGUGCACCCAAGUCCUAACAUGACGGAGAUUCUGGGUACCAUCCUAUGCCAAGUAGCAGAUGGUGCAAUGUCUGCUGGCAGUGGCACCGAACCUGCAGCAGAACAAAAUAUCAUCAACGACAUAUCAAUUUCCCUCUCUGACAAGAGGUACGCAACAUUGCAUCCUGUCCAUUCCCAUUCCCUUUGCGCUUGUCGAACAACCCGUUUGUGUUAUGGUACUAUCCUAAAAAUAGAACAUAUUAUGUUUGGAACGUUAGUCCAACAACCCGUGCAUCCACACAUAUUUUUAGAAAAAGCAUAGAUAAUUGAGCUUUGUGAAAGGCAUAUAAUUUAGUAAUAUUUAGAGGUGAUUAUGUUUUCUAAGUUUUUUACCAUGUUUCUUCUUCCUCCUAUGAUUAUGUGAAAGGUUUUAUGGAGUACUCAACAAAGUUUGCUAGUCCAUUAACCACGCUUUUGCACGGGAUAUAAAUUUUAAAAGAUUCAUAAGUAUUAAAAGCUCAUGGAUAGUUAAUCCGAAGUCUACGAGUAAUUGAGAAAUUGCUUAUCUUUGCUUUGUCUCCUAUUUAUUUAAUUUUUUUAAAACAAUAUAUACCCAUAUAGGUAUUUUCUUAUAAUCUUGUAUGUUGGUGAUUGGUGUUGAUUAAAAAUUACUUUAUAUGCCUUUUAAUUCACAUUCAUAGUCUUUUCAACUUUAGAUGAAACAUUAGUGAAGGACUGAGAUGGGCGACUGGGGGUGAAUAGGAGCCUCCAAUAAUUCUUUUAAAUAAUAAGGCCUAUAUCCCAAUUGCCACCCAAAACGCAUCUCGCUUCUAAUCAUCAAGAUGACACUAGUCAACUCGUGACAAUUUCAUCUUAGGAACGAUUAGAAACACUCGAAAGCGUAGCGGAAGCAAAGAAAAGCAAAACUUCGAAAAGUUUGCACGAGAUAUUGAUCUCAAACACUACCAAAUCAUUACUUGACUAAGCAUGCUUGAAAUAAUUAAUUAAGAAUUAAGCAUGAUUAACAAAGUGACAAAACUACUGAACAAGUAGCUAAUAAACAAGGUAGCACAGAUUAACUAGUAAUAAUUAACUAGCUCAAGUGAUAAAUUAAUAAUUGCAUGAAUUAAAGAACCGAGCAACCAAAGAAAAGCAACUGGGCUGCAGCUUGCUCACCUUGCUGGGCCGCUUGCACACUGCCACGGAAGAGCUCCUAGCUGCUGUGCUGAUGGGCGAGCCUGGUGCUGCACGGACCGGUGUGCUGGGCCGCCUGGCUCCGGCCUGCUACGUUGACAGGUCUGGAUCGCUCGAGCCUAGCCACGGCCUACUGGACUGCUCGGCCGCGCGGCUCCCUCCGGCGUGGCUGGGCUGCCUGGCCACCCGCGCUGGGCCGCCUGCCUGGUCAGCUGCUGCGCAGGCCAGGAAUUUUUUUAUUUUUAUAUUAUAAUAAAUAGUCGAAUAAAAAAUUUGUAAAAAUAGACGUUCGCUGCCGGAUCAAAUGGUGGUAAGAUCGCUUUUGCCGUAUGAAACGGAGGAAGGGUACCGGCCGCCACGUGCUGCCCUCCCUCGCCGGCUGAAAUGGUGGUAAGGACUCUUCCGCCAUUUCAACCAGUGAGGCAGCCCGGGUUGGCGACCUAUAGCCGGUUGAAACGGCUAUAACGACCCCUUCAGUUAUUUUCCCUUCAUUUUUCUGACUUUUAUCAAUUAUUUUUCCUUUAUUGUUUUAUUAUUUCAAUUAUAUAGUUGUAUCGCAAUACUUAACUUAGUAAUUUGAGGUUAUACCUCUAUCUUGAAUAUUGUUCCUUUAAAUUUUUAUAUGACAUUUUUUUAGAGAGGUAGAGUGAUUGCACGAAAUCAUUGAAAAUCAUGAAAUUCCGGCCUACGUAAAGUAGUCUGUGGAUACAAUUGUACAAUCAUGCGCGUUACAAUUGUACACAUGAUAGCUUGUACCGGCGUACAAAAGAUAAAAGAGGUCCUACAUACUAAAUGUGUUCUCGCUUGAAACGAAGCUGCCACCUCCCCCUCCCCGACCACGACCACGCCUCGCUGCCCACUGCGCUGCUCUGGUCUGCUGCUGGUCGUACGUCAAGAGCUCUCGUGGGGCAACGUUGCAAGGCGGACGUCCUACUGCGGCUGCAGAUGGUGUCCCGAGCUCCUGGGUCGCGUCCUGUGUAGGAGCCUUCGGGGCCUCACGCAACUACGA
rnacentral:lncRNA from 1 species